CCAGACGGCUGGACGGUCGCUCUCCGGGUCAAACCGGGGGGAGGAAAGUCCGGGCUCCACGGAAAUACGGUGCCGGAUAACGUCCGGCGGGGGCGACCCUAGGGAAAGUGCCACAGAAAGCAAACCGCCCGCGCCUCCUCGGAGCCGCAGGUAAGGGUGAAAGGGUGCGGUAAGAGCGCACCGCGCGACCGGCAACGGAAGCGGCACGGUAAACCCCACCGGGAGCAAGACCAAAUAGGGGCGGCACUGUCCUUCCUUGGAAGGACGAAACGCGUUUCCGCGUCGCCGCCCGGGUCGGUCGCGAGAGGCGUCCGGUAACGGGCGUCCCAGAUGAAUGGCCGUCCAACCCCGCAAGGGGGGGACAGAACCCGGCUUACAGGCCGUCUGGCACC
rnacentral:RNase_P_RNA from 1 species